rnacentral:misc_RNA from 1 species
AACGCACAUUGCGCCCUCUGGUAUUCCGGGGGGCAUGCCUGUUCGAGCGUCAUUACAACCCUCAAGCUCAGCUUGGUAUUGGGCCUCGCCGUCUGGCGGGCCUUAAAAUCAGUGGCGGUGCCGUCUGGCUCCAAGCGUAGUAAUUUUUCUCUCGCUUUCGGAGGCCGGCGUGUGCUUGCCAACAACCCCCAAUUUUUUCAGGUUGACCUCGGAUCAGGUAGGGAUACCCGCUGAACUUAA